rnacentral:misc_RNA from 1 species
GAUGAAGAACGUAGCGAAAUGCGAUAAGUAAUGUGAAUUGCAGAAUUCAGUGAAUCAUCGAAUUUUUGAACGCACCUUGCGCCCCUUGGUAUUCCGAGGAGCAUGCCUGUUUGAGUGUCAGUAAAUUCUCAAACCCUUCCAGCUUUUUGUAGUUGGCUCUGGGUCUUGGAUGUGGAGGUGUUGCAGGCCUUUUUGAGGUCAGCUCCCCUGAAAUGCAUUAGCAGAACCGUUUGCAAUCCAUCACAGGUGUGAUAAUUAUCUACGCCAGUGGGUUGCUCUCUGUCACUGUUCAGCUUACAAUUGUCCCAUUCUUGUGGACCAACUAUUGCUGAUUCUUUGACCUCAAAUCAGGUAGGACUACCCGCUGAACUUAAGCGUAUCAAUAAGCGGAGGA